GGUGCAUGUCUGAAAAUACAUCUUCGAUAAUUCUCAGUAAGUGAUCUCAAAUCCAUAGUAUAUAUGCACUAAAUUCAUAUCUCUCUUACCUAUUUGCAUGAAGCUUUUUCACCACUUUGAGUGCAUCUCCUUCAAUCUCCACCUUCGGGAAACCCAAAUCAAGACCCAUUUGAACUGCUUGGAAGCAUGCAAAAGCCUCACAGCAAAAGUCGCAGUGUCAGAGUCAAUAGGACUUUCAACGAGUAGAGAUAAAGGCAAAAGGGAAGCAUGUCUAAGCUUUUAGUUUUUCAGCAAAAGCGAAUAUUUCGGUGAGUGUUUUAGAAUCGCUGCUCGUAUAUGAUUCAUUGUGUAUUCGGGAAUUUAGAGGUAGCCUAAACCCCUUCUCUAAGUUCCGAGUGUAAGUGUUCUUUUACCUAUGCUAAAUAUGUGAUAAAUGUCUACGAACUGUGAUAAAAAGAAUUAUGAUGUGAUGAAAUAUGAACAUAUUGUUAUUACUGUUGUGACAGUAAAUAUAAGGGUAUGUCAUUUAUGUCA